rnacentral:lncRNA from 1 species
CAGAGAUAUCUGAUGUGAAAGGCUGCCUGCUGGCUAUCGGCAUCUUAAAAAUGUUUACGUGUGAAAUCACCAGACCAUUAUCUUUCUCCCACACGAGGCCCAGCUUUAACAAUCAGCCAGUUGCCCUCUGAUAUUGACUUUCUUUCUUCCUGCUGGUUUGGCUGACAGUAAAUGCCUGCUGGGAAGGCUUUCGCCCGCCUCUGGAGAGCAGAGACCCUGCUGCACCCCUUAUCCGUUGAUAUGGAUACAUCAAUGGGGUCAUGGGAGCGAAAGGACCACAUCUGUAACUUUGAAACAUCCAAGAGACCUCAAGGAUGCAGUCUUAAGACCCUCCUUUGCAAAGGGUCCUGCCUCAUACCCUGAGGGAAGGAAGGCUUCGGUAAAAACCCAAGCAGACUGGGUUAGGAGAGCUUCCUGACAGCUGUACACAUGGAGGCUCCUGGAGGGCUGGCACACCCAGAGGGGGCUUGGAAACUGCGUGCCCCUUCUCCCAAACCUCACCCUACACAUCUCUUUCUCUGCAUCCUUUGCAAUAUCCUUUAUAAUAAACUGGUAAACAU